AAACCUGAGAAACCCGAAAGAUCGAAUGGGGAGAUUCAUCUUCAGCGACGUUGGCUUCCGUGCGGUGCGCGAUGUCCGGGACCGCGGUUCCGCGGCACGCGUCCGCUGCGGCAUGUCCGACGUCGUCGUAGUGCACUUCUCCCCUAGUAGGACGUCGCGACCCGUUGGGUGCCGGCUUACGGCCCGGUUGGUCGACUGUCGCGUCACGUUCACGCGCGCACGCGACAGACCAUCGGUCGCCCGGCCGGCUGCCCGGCGGUAUAGAACGCUUUUAAACGGUACUGGGCCGCACCAAGUGCGUUCAGGCUCGUCGGCAGGCUCAUCUCGCCCGGAUUUACGGACCUAGCGCCGUUGCCGGGCGCUUGAUGCGGCUGUUAGUCGACGAUGUCCUCGGACUGGCUCUCGCAUUCGAAUGGAUGUACCGGUCGGCGACGCUACUGCUUUGGGUACUUU
rnacentral:rRNA from 1 species